CAGAGUUCAUGCCCUAACGGGUAGACCUCCCACCCUUGUGUAAUUAUACUUUGUUGCUUUGGCGAGUUGCUGAGGAUGUCACGUCCAAGGCCUCAGGCUCUCGUAGCCUGUAGAGUCACUCGCCGAAGGAAACCUAAACUCUGAAUGUUAGUGUCGUCUGAGUGCUAUAUAAUAGUUA
rnacentral:misc_RNA from 1 species